CGGACGGGUGAGUAACACGUAUGCAACCUGCCUGCCACAGCCGGAUAAUCGGGAGAAAUUCCGUCUAAUACGGCAUAAUGCAUCGACGGGACAUCCUGUUGGUGCCAAAGGUUAAUUCCGGUGGCGGAUGGGCAUGCGUCGCAUUAGUUAGUUGGCGGUGUAACGGACCACCAAGACGACGAUGCGUAGGGGUUCUGAGAGGAAGGUCCCCCACACUGGUACUGAGACACGGACCAGACUCCUACGGAAGGCAGCAG
rnacentral:rRNA from 1 species